rnacentral:lncRNA from 1 species
AAAAACCUAAAUUCAAUCCCCUAAUUCCCCUAACUCUGUAAUCAUAUAUUCAAAUAUGGAAGCUAAAUUCAAAUUCAUUCAAACGGCGAAGAAAAAUCAGCCCCAAAUGAUGAACAUCAUGAAUCGGACCCAAGGAAGAAGCAGACCACGACGAGCAUUCGAUCUGUAAGCACUACAUUUAUAUUAUCGGCAUAGACCAGAGAGGCUUAAAAAAAUUAGAGAUUUGUGUGGUAAUUCAUCAACAAAAAGACAAAACAGGAGACAAAUAGAGUAAGAAAGGGGCAAAUCUUUUUGUAUUUCAGCUCUCAUACUGCUAAGUUAAUUGAAUUAAUAUAGUGACGAAUUUAGUUGAAGAGAUGUUGUUCGAAUUGAGGACCAUUUUUCAAGUAAGUUUUCCUUUUGAAAUACAUCUGUUUUUAUCUAAUUAUGGUUUUUGUGAAGUUAUUGGAUCAUUACUGCUGUAGAUCUGCUGUAUUUCGUGUUUUGGUUUUUGCUGCGAUCUUUUGCUUAUUGAUGAAAUCUUAUUGAUUAAUCAAGCAGCGGUAAAUAAUUCAUGUUUUUGUCUGAUGAAGUAAUCAGUUAGUUAUGGAAAUAUGGUAAUAUGGAAUAUGUUGAGCUAGGCUUGUGCUCAACAAAACUCCUCAGCUAACAUAACAAAUGAGGUUCAUAACCCUAAAUCUGGAAUCAACUAUUCAAAUCAACUAUUAGUUUUCUUCCCCUUUUCUUAUCAAUUCUUCUUCUUUUAGACUGUUUGGUGGAUGGGGUACUAAUUGUGUGUAGUUGAAUAUGAUUUUUCUUAUCAG